UCAAUAUUUGGUGCAUGUUUUAUGUAAUCAUAUGGGAAUAUACAUCUGUAAGACUGAUUGAUAUUGUCAAUAAUCAUUUUAAACAUUUGACAUAUAACUUGUGUGCUUCUCUACUAAAUAGAGUCAAAUGUUGUGAAUAGGAACACUAUUUUUUGAAUUAUUUCUGUUCUGGUUGUUCCCCUUGAAUUGUGUGAAAUUUUGGAAUUACUAUAAAAUACAAACAAAACACAGGAUACAGUUCAGAAAUGUUGCAUUUAAUUCAUUAAACAUUAUAUUUCAAUAUAACAAAAGCUUUUUCGUUUUAUUUUGCAUAUAUUAAAAAACUUAAUUGCAAAAUGCAAAAUUUUAAAAUUGUGUAUAUCAUACGAAAAUUGAUACAUGUAUUCCAGAAAUGUGUUGCGGUAACAAAUCGAACAUAAUUUUGCAUAUAUCUUUUAACCGCUAUGGUUUAGAUUAUGGAAAACAAAGGGAGGUAAUAAUGUUAAAACCAUUGCUAAUUUUAGGAAAAUUUCACGUGUGCUGGUUUCGCACUGGAAAACAAUGUUUAAACUCAUAUUUGUGUAAUAGCAUCUACAUUUGCACAUUUUCUGAGCUUGAAUACUAAAAUAAGCAAGAUAAGUCUGCAGUUUUGUAGAAAAAGUUGGUAAAAAUAGACUGUCGUACUGUUUGACGUGGUCGCAGUUUAAAAGGGAGAACAAGUGGACCCCGAGAACGGUUACACGCAUUCAAGACAUCGUUAGCCACAGAAUCACCCAACCGCACGACACUUUCCAGCCAGUUCAUGUGUCAACGAGUGCAAAUUGUGAAAGAUGGCUUGGAAAAAUGGGAGUUCAAAGCGCCACCUUGCAACAAACAGCGCGAUGGAAACAGCUGUGGAGUGUUUGCAUUGAUGACUGCAGAAUGUUUGGUCAGGAAAAAGCAUCCCACAAUGUUGCGACAGGCCCAUGUUUCAGUUUAUCGAGACUAGUCAUGAAACGCAGACUUCUGAUUCAUGGAGUGCGGCAAACAUAUCUGUGCGACUCGAUCACUCCACUGUAAAGACCCGCACGACAUUAAAAUGGAUAUCAUGCGACGUUUGCAAACGAUGGCUGCAUGAGGUCUGCGUCUCACAACCAACAUCCCAAGAUAGCUUUGUGUGUGAGGUUUGUAUUGCACAAUAUACAUGUAGUUGAUGUAUUGAAACCAGGCUUUAAAAAUAAAACAAGGUCAACUACAAUUUAAAAUUAAAACUAGAAAUGGCGUGGCAGAGGUCGACGAGUAUCCCCACGCCGCAUGUUAGACCCAGAGGCGCCCUAGGGUUGGUAAUAGGGCCAUGCAUAGUCGAGGCUUUUUUUAUUCUGGUGGUGGUGAAAAUGUUAAAAUCGAAGUCCUUAAUACAAGAGUAAAAUUCACUUGGAUUUAGGUCCUCAUCCUGCUCUCCUAACAAAUCUAAUACUGAAUCAACUUCACUGACGUCCAUUAUGUACAUAUCAUCCUCAUUGGAAUGAGAUGGCUGAACAUACUCUGUUUUAGCCAAUCUUCUUGCAUCUGCUUUGGAAAAGUUAUGUUUUGAGGUUAAAUGGUUGACUAAAUAGUAGCGUCUCAGAAAUUUUCUAUCGCAAUCUUGUACACAACAAUGAAAAUGUUAAAUUUCAUGUCUGUCUUUGAUGUGCCUGUUCAAGAGUCCUUUUUGCUUUAAAUUGUUUGUCACAUUUUUCACACUUGAACAUUUUGAAAGAUUUUCAGUAAUGAGUCUAAAAGUGUGAUUGAACAAAUUGAAAGUUUCAGCCCUUUUAUAGAUUCUUGAGGCUCUAUUCCAUGAGUUUCUCAUGCUUUUUAUGCUUGACUGCAUUCUAUUCCUUUCUCUCAAAUACAGGUGUCCCUUUGCACCAAUAUUUUAUAAUCCCUUAUUAAACAUUAGAUGGAUGAGCUAAACCAUUUCACAGAUGAGUAAACACAAAUAAUUGACUACUAAAUACAUCUCUGCGCCACUCCUGUGUAACUCUAGAUAUGUUUUCAAUACACAAGCUUCAUUGUUGAAUAAUUCCUUUGUCUGAUGAAAAUGCUUGCACUUCUUCUGAUUGGGUAGAUAACCACUUAAUAGAUUUCGAAAUCUAAACGCGGACCUUAAGUUCAAGGUCAAGGUCACAGGGGUCAAAACUGUUUAAUGCGCAUGGAAAGGUCUUGUCCAGAUACACAUGCAUACCAAAUAUGAAAGCAAUAUCUAAAGGGACACAGUAAGUAUGAGCCUUUUUCGAAUCGUGUUCGCAGACUUUGAAACCUAAACGCUGGCCUAAAGUUCAAGGUCAAGGUCACAGGGGUCAAAAAUUGUAUGCACAUGGUAAGGUGUUGUCCAGAUACACAUUCAUACCAAAUAUUAAACCAAUAUCUGAAGGGACACAGUAGUUAUGAGCCUUUUUCGAAUCGCGGUCGCAGAUUUAGAAACCUGAAUGCUGACCUCAAGUUCAAGGUCAAGGUAGCAUGUACAAAACUGUAUGCGCAUGGAAAGGUGUUGUCUAGAUACACAUACAAACCAAAUAUGACAGCAAUAUCUGAAGGGACACAGUAGUUAUGAUCCUUUUUCGAAUUGCGGUCACAGAUUUCAAAACCUGAAAACUGGCCCAAAGUUCAAGGUCAAGGUCACAGGGAUAAAAAAAAUUAUGCGCAUGGAAAGGUGUUGUCCAGAUACACAUGCAUACCAAAUAUAAAAGCAAUAUCUGAAGGGACACAGUAUUUAUGAGCCUUUUUAUAAUCGCGGUUGCAGAUUUCGAAACCUGAAAACUGACCCCAAGUUCAAGGUUAUAGGGGUAAAAAAUUGUGUGCGCAUGGAUAGGUGUUGUCUAGAUACACAUACAUACCAAAUAUGAAAGCAACAUCUGAAGGGACACAGUAGUUAUGAGCCUUUUUCAAAUCGCGGUCACAGAUUUCGAAACCUUAAAACUGACCCAAAGUUCAAGGUCAAGGGGUAAAAAAUUGUAUGCGCAUGGAUAGGUGGUGUCUAGAUACACAUGCAUACCAAAUAUGAAAGCAAUAUCUGAAGGGACACAGUAGUUAUGAGCCUUUUUCGAAAUGCGGUCGCAGGAAAAUCUCUGACCCGGCCCCACCCUGACCCCAAUAACUUUUGGCCCAGGGGUCAGAUCAAAAUUCCGUCGCUGUCACCGUCGCCUAUAUGCUCAUAGCUGCCAUGUGUGUGUAAGUUUCAAGGUUCUAGGGCUAAUAGUGUAGGAGAUAAUAGUGUCCAGGACGGACAGAUAGACGGCGGAGCUAAACACAAUAUCCCCACGCUUUUAAAAAAACGUGGGAUAAAAAAAAAAGGUAAAGAUGAGCACUAAAAUUGUGUUUGUACAUGGUUUACCUGCAUAAAUAGUUUGAAAUUGCAUAUAUAUUUAAAUUUUAGAACAACAAAAUAAAUGUUGAAAAUGGUUCAUGAUAGUUCUAUGUAUAUUGUUAAAUCACUCAUUUUAGGGCAAUUAUAAUUUUUUGUUUAAAAAGGCAAUCUUACUCAACAUCUGCGGAUUUAAGGUGAUACAUGUAUUGAUACUGAUUUAAAGUUGAUGCCAUGUUUUAUACAGAUAACUUGAAUGUACUGAUAGUUUUCAAUUAAUUGCUUUGUAACUGAAAUAAUGAAUUUUUUACCACCUUCCUGUUACUUUUAAUUUAGUGUUUUGUGGAAAAUGAGAUUUUCAUGUUAAAAAGUAUGCAUUAUUCAAGAUAGAUUAAAUCAAAGACAACUGUUGAUACCUGCACAUUGAUAAUAUUUCUUUCCUUAUGUGUGUAAUUUCCUAUCCUUGACAUGCAUAAGUAAUCAUGUAAGAAACAAUUUGUUUGCAGCUGGUUAUUACUGCAUGUGUAAUUUCUAUUCAAAAUGAUGGUUUUAAUAACAUGUGAUUCAAUGAGAAAUACAUUUCUCAACUGUAACAUUUCUUAAUUUAUAUAUGAAUCAUAUUUACUUUAUCAUGUGCUCAUGCAUACAUGUUGCUUAUUGUUGAUGUCUUAAUAAACCAAGAGUAUA